rnacentral:rRNA from 1 species
GACGAACGCUGGCGGCGUGCUUAACACAUGCAAGUCGAACGAUGAAGCCGGAGCUUGCUCUGGUGAAUUAGUGGCGAACGGGUGAGUAACACGUGUGUAACCUGCCCUUGACUCUGGGAUAACUGCGGGAAACUGUAGCUAAUACCGGAUACGACCCUCGGAGGCAUCUCCUGGGGGUGGAAAGAAUUUCGGUCAAGGAUGGACUCGCGGCCUAUCAGCUAGUUGGUGAGGUAAAGGCUCACCAAGGCGACGACGGGUAGCCGGCCUGAGAGGGUGAACGGCCACACUGGGAUUGAGACACGGCCCAGACUCCUACGGGAGGCAGCAGUGGGGAAUAUUGCACAAUGGGCGCAAGCCUGAUGCAGCAACGCCGCGUGAGGGAUGACGGCCUUCGGGUUGUAAACCUCUUUUAGCAGGGAAGAAGCGAAAGUGACGGUACCUGCAGAAAAAGCACCGGCUAACUACGUGCCAGCCGCCGCAGUAA